UAUAUAUAUAUAUAUAUAUAUAUAUAUGCCUGUAAGAGGAUUGCUUGAGCCCAGGAGUUCUGAAGUACAUCAUGCCAAUAGGUUAUCUGCACUAAUUUGGCAUCAGUAUGGUGACCUCCUGGGGGCAGGGAUCACCAGAUUGCCGAAGGAGUGAUGAAUAAGCCAGGCCAGAAACAGAACAGGUCAAAACUCCUGUGCUGAUCAGCAGUGGGCUCACAAUUGUGAAGAGCCCCUGCCCUCCAACCUGGGCAACAUAAUGAGAGU
rnacentral:SRP_RNA from 1 species